rnacentral:misc_RNA from 1 species
GAUGAAGAACGUAGCGAAAUGCGAUAAGUAAUGUGAAUUGCAGAAUUCAGUGAAUCAUCGAAUCUUUGAACGCACAUUGCGCCCGCCAGUAUUCUGGCGGGCAUGCCUGUUCGAGCGUCAUUUCAACCAUCAAGCCCCCGGGCUUGUGUUGGGGACCUGCGGCUGCCGCAGGCCCUGAAAACCAGUGGCGGGCUCGCUAGUCACUCCGAGCGUAGUAGUUACAUCUCGCUCAGGGCGUGCUGCGGGUUCCGGCCGUUAAAAGCCUUUUACCCCAAGGUUGACCUCGGAUCAGGUAGGAAGACCCGCUGAACUUAAGCAUAUCAAUAAGCGGAGGA